GACGCGGUGGCCGAGUGGUUAAGGUGAUGGACUGUUAAUCCAUUGUGCUGUGCAUGCGUGGGUUCGAAUUUCAUCCUCGUCG
rnacentral:tRNA from 1 species